GUGCACCAGUCGAGAAUAGUCUACAAUGGACGAAGUCUGAUAGUGCGACGCCGUGUGUGCGAUUAAUUCCUUCGGGAUGUAAAGCACUUUUCUAUGAGAUAAAGCUCUUUAGGUUAAUAGCUUAUUGAGACGGAUAUUAUUAUAGGAAUAAGCUCCGGCUAACUCCGUGCCAGCAGCCGCGGUAAUACGGAAGGAGCGAGCGUUGUCCGGAUUUACUAGGCGUAAAGGGCUAGUAGGCGACUAAUUAAGUUAUAUGUUAAAUCCCACGGCUCAACUGUGGUCCUGCAUGUAAUACUGGUUAGAUAGAGUACUGUAGAGGAAGGCAGAAUUCCUGGAGUAGCGGUGGAAUGCGCAGAUAUCAGGAAGAAUACCAAAAGCGAAGGCAGCCUUCUGGGCAGUUACUGACGCUGAAUAGCGAAGGUGUGGGUAGCGAACAGGAUUAGACUA
rnacentral:rRNA from 1 species